rnacentral:lncRNA from 1 species
GGGGGAAAAUGAAAGGAGAAAGCCUCCCCUGGGAAAAAAGGGAGUGAUCCCAUUAUAAAUGAGAGUCAUACAGCAUCCUUCUGGAGGCAUGUUGAAAUUUCCCAUGGGAGGAAGAAGAAUAAACAAAGGCAGAAUGGAAGGAAUACUUAACAGGCCUGGAUUUACUGGGAAGGCCAAAAUGCCUGUGUAUGUUUCCUGCCUUUCCCCAAGUGGUAUUUGCAAUUCAUGUUUCUCCAGUGGAGUGCCACAGUCUCUCUCCAGCUGCUCAAAUCUGCAUGCUAGGUUUGGGCAGCAGAGAGAAAACAAUAUGCAGUGCACUACAGCCCAGCAGCAGAUGGAAUCAUGAGAGAAUCUCCACUGUGAUUGACAUCAGGAAGGGAUCGGCUCCCAGGGACAGUGACUAUGGGUGACUCACUGUUAUCCUUCCCUGCUGGACUGCAAAUGGGUACAGUAAUAGAGGUCUGUGAGGGAAGAGACUUUCUGGCUAUGUGUUGCUUCUGACAAGUCACAGGAGUUUCAGAUUGUCAUGUGUAACAUUAUAGUAGGAUCUCUGAACUGGCAAACCCUACUGGAAACAGAAUUCUUCCAGUGAAAUAAAUGCCUCAAUUGUAAGAAAAUGCUCUAGGAA